rnacentral:rRNA from 1 species
UACGAAGGGGGCUAGCGUUGCUCGGAAUUACUGGGCGUAAAGCGCACGUAGGCGGUCUUUUAAGUCGGGGGUGAAAUCCUGGAGCUCAACUCCAGAACUGCCUUCGAUACUGGAAGACUCGAGUCCGGGAGAGGUGAGUGGAACUGCGAGUGUAGAGGUGAAAUUCGUAGAUAUUCGCAAGAACACCAGUGGCGAAGGCGGCUCACUGGCCCGGUACUGACGCUGAGGCGCGAAAGCUAGGGGAGCAAACAGG